UGAGGAAUAUUGGGCAAUGCCCGCAAGGGUGACCCAGCAACGCCGCGUGGAGGAUGAAUGUCGUAAGAUUGUAAACUCCUGUUAGAGGGGAAGAAUAGUACCGGUUGGACCGGUAUAUGACUGUACCCUCAGAGAAAGCCCCGGCUAACUACGUGCCAGCAGCCGCGGUAAUACGUAGGGGGCAAGCGUUGUCCGGAUUUACUGGGUGUAAAGGGCGCGCAGGCGGGAUAAAAAGUCAGUGGUGAAAUCCUACAGCUUAACUGUAGAACUGCCUUUGAUACUUUUAUUCUUGAGUUCGGGAGAGAGAGACGGAAUUCCAGGUGUAGUGGUGAAAUACGUAGAUAUCUGGAAGAACACCAGUUGCGAAGGCGGUCUCUUGGUCCGACACUGACGCUGAGGCGCGAAGGCGUGGGGAGCAAACA
rnacentral:rRNA from 1 species